rnacentral:misc_RNA from 1 species
GAAAUGUGAUAAGUAAUGUGAAUUGCAGAAUUCAGUGAAUCAUCGAAUCUUUGAACGCACAUUGCGCCCCCUGGUAUUCCGGGGGGCAUGCCUGUUCGAGCGUCAUUUCACCACUCAAGCCUCGCUUGGUAUUGGGCGACGCGGUCCGCCGCGCGCCUCAAAUCGACCGGCUGGGUCUUCCGUCCCCUCAGCGUUGUGGAAACUAUUCGCUAAAGGGUGCCGCGGGAGGUCACGCCGCAAAACAACCCCAUUUCUAAGGUUGACCUCGGAUCAGGUAGGGAUACCCGCUGAACUUAAGC